AGCAGCCGCGGUAAUUCCAGCUCCAAUAGCGUAUAUUAAAGUUGUUGCAGUUAAAAAGCUCGUAGUUGAAUUUCGGGGUUAGUAGGUUGGUCAUGCCUCUGGUAUGUACUGGUCUCACUGAUUCCUCCUUCCUGAUGAACCUUAAUGCCAUUAAUUUGGUGUUUUGGGGAAUUUGGACUGUUACUUUGAAAAAAUUAGAGUGUUUAAAGCAAGCUAACGCUUGAAUACAUUAGCAUGGAAUAAUGAAAUAGGACGUUCGAUCCUAUUUUGUUGGUUUCUAGGAUUGACGUAAUGAUUAAUAGGGAUAGUUGGGGGCAUUAGUAUUCAAUUGUCAGAGGUGAAAUUCUUGGAUUUAUUGAAGACUAACUACUGCGAAAGCAUUUGCCAAGGAUGUUUUCAUUAAUCAAGAACGAAAGUUAGGGGAUCGAAGACGAUCAGAUACCGUCGUAGUCUUAACCAUAAACUAUGCCGACUAGGGAUCGGAUGAUGUUAAUUUAAUGACUCA
rnacentral:rRNA from 1 species